rnacentral:rRNA from 1 species
GGACUACCCGGGUAUCUAAUCCUGUUUGCUCCCCUAGCUUUCGCAGCUGAGUGUCAGUAAUGGUCCAGGUACCUGCUUUCGCCGUUGAUGUUCCUCCCGAUCUCUGCGCAUUUCACCGCUACACCGGGAAUUCCAGUACCCUCUCCCAUACUCAAGCCUGACAGUUUCUGUUGACCUCUCUCAGUUAAGCCAAGAGCUUACACAACAGACUUGUCAAACCACCUACCUGCCCUUUACGCCUAGUAAUUCCGAGUAACGCUUGCCACCUUCGUAUUACCGCGGCUGCUGGCAC